GAUGAACGCUGGCGGCGUGCCUAAUACAUGCAAGUCGAGCGAACAGACGAGGAGCUUGCUCCUCUGACGUUAGCGGCGGACGGGUGAGUAACACGUGGAUAACCUACCUAUAAGACUGGGAUAACUUCGGGAAACCGGAGCUAAUACCGGAUAAUAUAUUGAACCGCAUGGUUCAAUAGUGAAAGACGGUUUUGCUGUCACUUAUAGAUGGAUCCGCGCCGCAUUAGCUAGUUGGUAAGGUAACGGCUUACCAAGGCAACGAUGCGUAGCCGACCUGAGAGGGUGAUCGGCCACACUGGAACUGAGACACGGUCCAGACUCCUACGGGAGGCAGCAGUAGGGAAUCUUCCGCAAUGGGCGAAAGCUUGACGGAGCAACGCCGCGUGAGUGAUGAAGGUCUUCGGAUCGUAAAACUCUGUUAUUAGGGAAGAACAAAUGUGUAAGUAACUAUGCACGUAUUGACGGUACCUAAUCAGAAAGCCACGGCUAACUACGUG
rnacentral:rRNA from 1 species